ACCAGCCUUAUGCUAACGAAGUAGUCAAACCAGCCUUAUGCUAACGAAGUAGUCAAACCAGCCUUAUGCUAACGAAGUAGUCAAACCAGCCUUAUGCUAACGAAGUAGUCAAACCAGCCUUAUGCUAACGAAGUAGUCAAACCAGCCUUAUGCUAACGAAGUAGUCAAACCAGCCUUAUGCUAACGAAGUAGUCAAACCAGCCUUAUGCUAACGAAGUAGUCAAACCAGCCUUAUGCUAACGAAGUAGUCAAACCAGCCUUAUGCUAACGAAGUAGUCAAACCAGCCUUAUGCUAACGAAGUAGUCAAACCAGCCUUAUGCUAACGAAGUAGUCAAACCAGCCUUAUG